UCCUGAUCUGACCUUCAGCUGCAUGUUUGUGUCUGCAAGAAGUAGACAGGGAAUUCAGGGGGAGUUUUCUGCAUUGCUUGAAUGUAAACAGGAUUCCUGCUUGUGAGUAAGGGAUUGUCUCCUUUUUUUCUAAACUGCAUAGAAGUAGAAAAUGUGGGGCUCCGUUCUGGAGUUGCUUCUUAUUUUGAAACAUCAGGUUCCAAACCCUAGCUGUAAAAAGUCUAUUUUAAGGAGAUGGAUUCCCAUUUUGUGCUCCCGCCCGAAACGAAAGGAAUGAAAGAACGGAUGAAACAGGAAAAACGGGUGCCGAGCUGAAGGGAGAAGUGGGAGGAAGAGAGAGAAACUUUUUAGAAGCAGUUGAAAAAAGCCUCAUGCCUGAUUAACUGGAACUGCAUCUGCCAAACUAGGAUAGUUGGAGAACAUAUUACAGUGCCCAUCAUCCAUAUCUAAUUCAGUUUAUUGGCUACUUGGAAAGAUCAGAAAAUUAUUUCAAAGCUAGAAACAGGUUAGAUGUGUCAAGGAAAAUGCUCUUGGGGUCUGGUCAUCAUUGCACAUGAACUUCAUAGAAGUACCAUUGGAUUUUGGAUCUUUCUCACACCAUAAAUGCAUGACCAACAUCAUGUCUGUUCUAACUAUCAAAGAGAAACAUCUCUUGCCUUAACACAUGGUAUUAUUUGGAUUGUUGUAAUUUUAGUAUAACAAACCAGGAAUACAAUCUUAAUAAUUCAUUAAAAACAAAAUAAAACAUCAUAAAAAGUAUGGAUUUUUAUUAUAAAAAGUGUUUCC
rnacentral:lncRNA from 11 species